AGUUUGAUCCUGGCUCAGGACGAACGCUGGCGGCGUGCUUAACACAUGCAAGUCGAACGGAAAGGCCCCUUCGGGGGUACUCGAGUGGCGAACGGGUGAGUAACACGUGGGUAAUCUGCCCUGCACUUCGGGAUAAGCCUGGGAAACUGGGUCUAAUACCGGAUAUGACCACGAGGCGCAUGCCUUGUGGUGGAAAGCUUUUGCGGUGUGGGAUGGACCCGCGGCCUAUCAGCUUGUUGGUGGGGUGACGGCCUACCAAGGCGACGACGGGUAGCCGGCCUGAGAGGGUGUCCGGCCACACUGGGACUGAGAUACGGCCCAGACUCCUACGGGAGGCAGCAGUGGGGAAUAUUGCACAAUGGGCGCAAGCCUGAUGCAGCGACGCCGCGUGGGGGAUGACGGCCUUCGGGUUGUAAACCUCUUUCAGCAGGGACGAAGCGCAAGUGACGGUACCUGCAGAAGAAGCACCGGCCAACUACGUGCCAGCAGCCGGGGCAAUAC
rnacentral:rRNA from 1 species